AAUGCUGAUGCCAGGACCUUGUCCUGCCAGGAAGCCUCUGAUUAGGGCUGUGAACCAACUUCCUUUUCACAUCUGCAAGGACACUUGGAGGCAACUGCCCAAGGCCACUCUGAGGAGGGUUGAAUGUUCUUUAUUAAAAGGACUGAGGAUCAUGUGUGUUGGUGGGCCUUGGACUCUGCUCUAAGCUCAAAUUUUGCAGUUUCUGCUGUCAUCACAGCUGGGAAUGAGAAAGGGAAGGGGCUCCAGUUGGUCUCCCUCUGCCUCUGGAGCACACGUGGAGGACAUGAGGCUUCCGCAGGAACAGCUCUGAAAGCUGAGUUCUCGGGUCCCUGUGAAGGAGGGAAGCUUGCCUGCCUUGGAGCGUGAAAAAGUCUUGCUGGACAGAAGUCUCACGGUUUAAAACUGGGAAGGGAGAGGAUUGAGAUCACACUAGAAUGCACAGAAAAUUCUUAAAACAAAAAAAUGAGAGAAACUUCAUCAGAAUGUGAAAAGAACUAUAAAGCUACAGUGCUGAAGAGAGGGCAAUACUGGCACUAGAAUGAGAAGAUUCAUGGAACACAGUGGAAAAUGCAGUAAGAGAGCUGCAUGAAGCCUCUGAUUAGGGCCCGGAACCAACUUCCUUUUCGCAUCUGCAGACUCAUGGAGGCAACCACUCAAGGCCACUCUGAGAAGGGUUGAACGUGCUUUAAAUUAAAAGGACUGAGGAUCAUGUGUGUUGGUGUGUCCUGGACUCUGCUCUAAGGCCCUGUGGCUGCCUGGUGCCCUGGGAAUGGUCCGGUCAUGGGCCUCAGCCCAGGAUGAGCAGCCAACAAUGCAAUCCCACGAAGAGUGUGCGGAAGGGAGAGGUUACUUCUCAAGAUGGAGCUGCCAAAUAGGGACACUUUGGAGAGUCUGGCCUGAGAACUUUUAGUUUCAAGAAUGUAUUGCUUUGGAAAAGACAGAAUAAAAGUCCAAGCACUGCCACUUAGAGGUUGUAUGUCCUUGGGAAAGUCACUGUACUUGGCAAUUAUAACCUUUACCCUGGAUACACCAUUCAUCUCCUGGGGCCAGGGGUUGUGCCACCUUGUUCAUUUCUAAACUAAAUGAUAUCUAAGCUAGUCUUUACCACAGUUUAAUUCUUACAAUAAUACUCCAAAGGAGAUAUAAUCAACCACAUUUCACAGAUGAGAGAGUUGGAAUCUUAAAAAGGUUAAACUCUUC
rnacentral:lncRNA from 1 species